AAAAGUCUUAACCCUAGGCUUAAACAAGAAUACAAACAAUAUACAAGCUUUAAAAAGAAAACACUUCUUCACUUUAGUAAAUUAGUUUGAAAACAAAAUACAAAGCCCUAAAUAAAAAGUACCGUAAGGGAAGGAUGAAAUAAUAAUAACAAGUAAACUAUAAAAAGGAAAGAUAUCUACUUUUACCUUGCGUAUAAUGGAUUAACAAGAAUAGAAGAAAGUCAAUUUCUAACCCCGAAACUGGACGAGCUAAUCUUAUCCUCUUUUUAGAAGAUUUCACCCACUGUUGCAAUAGUGGAGAAAAAGGUAAGAUUAGAUGUGAAAUGCUAACCGCGCCCAGAGAUAGCUGGUUUCCCAAAAAAUUAGUUUGAGCUAAGCCCCCAUAGAAAAAUGCACCACCUUUAGUAAUAUAAAAAGAAACUGCAUUAAUUUUUUUGGAGGGUCAGGGCUUCAAGGACAAGCCUGAAGCCCAAGAUGGAAAACUCCAACUCCAAUAGUUUAAGUCAAUAAAUUAACAAAAUAGACAGUGACAAAAUAAUAGGCCUAGAAGCAGCCACUUAAUAAGAAAGCGUUAAAGCUCAACUGUUCCCCUUGUCUAAAAAAUUAGUGCUAAAACCACUGAAACUUUGGAAUUUUAUUGGGACACUCCAUAAUUGGAAAGGAUCAUGUUAAUAUGAGUAAGUUAAACUUCACCUGUUUUUUAUGCAUUCUUAACCCUGGAAGAAAAACACUGCCUCAGAUAAAAACAUUUUUAAGAACGUCUUCCAACUCAGGAGAAGAAAAUAAAUUAAAGUAAGAAAAAGGAACUCGGCAAAUUCAUAGUUUCGCCUGUUUACCAAAAACAUCGCCCCCUGCUAAACAAAAACAUAAGGGGUCCUGCCUGCCCAGUGACUAGAAGUUAAACGGCCGCGGUAUCUUGACCGUGCGAAGGUAGCAUAAUCAUUUGUCUCCUAAAUAGAGACUAGUAUGAAUGGCAAGACGGAACAAAACUGUCUCUUUCUCAUGACACAGAACUUCACUUUCCCGUGAAGAGGCGGGAAUAAGCUCGCUAGACGAGAAGACCCUGUCGAGCUUUAGCAAACUCCAAGCCCUUAAUUUGCUUAUUAUGGACUAAUUAAUAGAAUUAUCCAACAAUAAACUUUUUGGCCCUUGGAAAAGCUUUGGUUGGGGCAACCGCGGAGAAAAAUAAUCCUCCGCUAAUAAUAGAAUACUAUAUGAAGAGUUACAACUCUAAAAUCAAAAGGAAACAAAUGAUCCACUAAGGUGAUCAAAGGAACAAGUUACCGCAGGGAUAACAGCGUUAUCUUUUCUGAGAGUCCACAUUGACGAAAAGGUUUGCGACCUCGAUGUUGGAUCGGGACAUCCUGAGGGUGCAGAAGCUUUCAAGGGUUGGUCUGUUCGACCAUUAAAGUCCUACGUGAUCUGAGUUCAGACCGGCGAGAGCCAGGUCAGUUUCUAUCUACGUUUUAAUCUCUCUUAGUACGAAAGGACCAGAGAGAACAUGCCUCUGCCAUGAACGUAAGCAUUAUAAUUAAAAAC
rnacentral:rRNA from 1 species